rnacentral:rRNA from 1 species
ACGAGGCGGGGGGGGCAACCCCUCCAGUCGAGUGGCGGACGGGUGAGUAACACGUGGGUAACCUGCCCGGAUGUGGGGAAUACCUCGGGGAGACUCGAGCUAAUACCGCAUGACAUCUUCGGGACGAAGUCCUGACGAUCAAAGCGGGGUCGCAAGAUCUCGCGCUUCCGGAUGGGCCCGCGCCCGAUUAGCUAGUUGGCGAGGUAACGGCUCACCAAGGCGACGAUCGGUAGCCGGCCUGAGAGGGUGAUCGGCCACACCGGAACUGAGACACGGUCCGGACUCCUACGGGAGGCAGCAGUGGGGAAUCUUGCGCAAUGGGCGAAAGCCUGACGCAGCAACGCCGCGUGGAGGAUGAAGGCCCUUGGGUUGUAAACUCCUGUCGGCUGGGAAGAAAUCGUUCGGGGUUAAUACCCCCGGACGUUGACUGUACCAGCAAAGGAAGCCCCGGCUAACUCUGUGCCAGCAGCCGCGGUAAUACAGAGGGGGCUAGCGUUAUUCGGAAUUAUUGGGCGUAAAGGGCGCGUAGGCGGCCUCGCGUGUCUUCCGUGAAAUCCCUCGGCUUAACCGAGGACGUGCGGAAGAAACUGCAGGGCUCGAGUCCGGGAGAGGGGGGUGGAAUUCCCAGUGUAGCGGUGAAAUGCGUAGAUAUUGGGAGGAACACCGGUGGCGACGCGG